rnacentral:lncRNA from 1 species
GUUCGUGUUAUUUAAAGGAACAUGCUGAGAAAAUGACUGUUUUCAUAAGUGAUAGUAAAUCAUUGCAUUUAAAAAAACAAAUCGUGAUUUAAAUCUAAUCAGUCGAGUCACAGGCACUUGUCUAUAUCUACAGGUAUUUUUUCACAAACAAGUGCCUGCGAGUCACAAUGACUUAAAUUUUUCUCCCGUCAUGUCUCUGAAAUUGUCAAUUCUCG